rnacentral:rRNA from 1 species
GAUGAACGCUGGCGGCGUGCCUAAUACAUGCAAGUCGAGCGAACGGACGAGAAGCUUGCUUCUCUGAUGUUAGCGGCGGACGGGUGAGUAACACGUGGAUAACCUACCUGUCAGACUGGGAUAACUUCGGGAAACCGGAGCUAAUACGGGAUAAUAUUUUGAACCGCAUGGUUCAAUAGUGAAAGACGGUCUUGCUGUCACUUAUAGAUGGAUCCGCGCUGCAUUGGCUAGUUGGGAAGGUAACGGCUUUCCAAGGCAACGAUGCAUAGCCGACCUGUGAGGGUGGUAGGCCACACGAGAGCGGGAACGCGGACCUGACUCCUACGGGAGGCAGCAGUAGGCAAUCUGCCGCAAUGGUCGAAAGCCUGGCGGAGCAACGGCGCGUGAGAGAUGAAGGUCUUCGGAUCGGAAAACUCUGUUAUGAGGGAAGAACAGAUGUGUAAGUAACUGUGGACAGCGUGACGGUACCUAAUCAGAAAGCCACGGCUAACUACGUG